rnacentral:rRNA from 1 species
GACGAACGCUGGCGGCGUGCCUAAUACAUGCAAGUAGAACGCUGAAGGAGGAUCUUGCUUCUCUGGAUGAGUUGCGAACGUGUGAGUAACGCGUAUGUAACCUGCCUGGUAGCGGGGGAUAACUUCUGGUAACGAUAGCUAAUACCGCAUAAUAGUAGAUGUUGCAUGACAUUUUCUUAAAAGUUUCAAUUUCAUCACUACCAGUUGGUCCUUCGUUGUUUUAGCUAGUUGGUGUGGUAACGGCUCACCAAGGCGACGAUACAUAGCCGACCUGAGAGGGUGAUCGGCCAAAAUGGGAAGGAGACAAGGCCCAGAAUGAUACGGGAGGCAGCAGUAGGGAAACAUCGGAAAUGGACGGAAGUCUGACCGAGAAAAGACGAGGGAGUGAAGAAGGUUGUCGGAUCGGAAAGCUAUGUUGUAAGAGAAGAACGAGUGUGAGAGUGGAAAGUUCACACAGUGACGGUAUCUAACAAGAAAGGGACGGCUAACUACGUG